AGCAGCCGCGGUAAUUCCAGCUCCAAUAGCGUAUAUUAAAGUUGCUGCAGUUAAAAAGCUCGUAGUUGAAUUUCGGGACUAAUAUGUCGGUCGUGCCUCGGUACGUACUGGUUUAUUGGUUUCUCCUUUCUGAAGAACCAUGAUGUCAUUUAUUUGGUGUCGUGGGGAAUCAGGACUGUUACUUUGAAAAAUUAGAGUGUUUAAAGCAGGCUCACGCUUGAAUACAUUAGCAUGGAAUAAUGAAAUAGGACGUUUGAUUCUAUUUUGUUGGUUUCUAGGAUCGACGUAAUGAUUAAUAGGGAUAGUUGGGGGCAUUAGUAUUCAAUUGUCAGAGGUGAAAUUCUUGGAUUUAUUGAAGACUAACUACUGCGAAAGCAUUUGCCAAGGAUGUUUUCAUUAAUCAAGAACGAAAGUUAGGGGAUCGAAGACGAUCAGAUACCGUCGUAGUCUUAACCAUAAACUAUG
rnacentral:rRNA from 1 species